rnacentral:rRNA from 1 species
AAUGAACGCUGACAGAAUGCUUAACACAUGCAAGUCUUUGGUGAAGCUGUGCUUGCACAGCCUAGCCAAGGCGGACGGGUGAGUAACGCGUAAGGAACUUGCCCUGCAGUCAGGGAUAACAGACGGAAACGACUGAUAAGACCUGGUAAAGUCAGGCGGACUCAUGUCCAGCCUGAUGAAAAGAGAUGCUGCAGGAGAGCCUUGCGUCCUAUUAGCUUGUUGGUGGGGUAACGGCCCACCAAGGCAAUGAUAGGUAGCCGGCCUGAGAGGGUGGACGGCCACAAGGGGACUGAGAUACGGCCCUUACGCCUACGGGAGGCAGCAGUGGGGAAUAUUGGACAAUGGGGGCAACCCUGAUCCAGCAAUUCUGUGUGCACGAUGAAGGUUUUCGGAUUGUAAAGUGCUUUCAGCAGGGAAGAAAAAAAUGACGGUACCUGCAGAAGAAGCGACGGCUAAAUACGUG